CAGCCUCCAUGGCGCUUUCCUGCUCAGGAUACUCUUCCUUUCCUCCAUGACCCCUCUGUGACCAGAGGACACCGUGCGCGGCUCCUGCAUGAGUGGCUGAGACAGGCGUAGACUGCUCUGUCAUUUAGCCACCAUGCAGUCGGGCAUGCCCGUGGCCUGGAGCGUCGACCCCACCACCCUAACGGGAAGCCGCGCGUGGCCCAGGGUGGGCUCAUUCACAGCUUCUGUCUUUGGAGACUGGAGCCUACAAAGCAGGGGAGGCCUCCUCCUCCACUGCCGACAGAGCCACCCCCAGGGGCAAGUCCUCCGUGGCCGUCUAGCCCUGUGGCCGAGGCGGCUGUCUCCUGCGGGUACCUUGCUGUCCUCCCCAGGAGCUGCUGUGGUCUGGCUUUGCCCCUCACCUGCCCCAUGUCUGCCAACACCAUCCUACCUCAUGGGUGGUGACAGCACAGUGGCACUCCCAGGAGGGACUCCCUUCGUGACAGGCAUGAGGAGAUGGGCCAGUUCUCAAAGUCCUGGUCACCCAGGAGCAGUGAUGGUCUUGUGGAGAGCAGGGCGGGUGCUGGGCACCAGCCUCACAUGAGGGUGAGACCCUGUGCCAGGGUGCCAUACUUCCAAUCUUGAGUGUCCUCAGAGGCCAUGUGUUGAAGGUUUGCAGCCACCUGCUCUGUCACCGACCUGGAGGUCGGGGGACCCUUAGGAGGUGGGCCUGGUGGGAAGGGGAUGUCGGGCACACAGACCCUGUCCAGCCCUUCUCUCUCUCUCUCUCUCUCUCUCUCUCUCUCCUUUUCUUUUCUUUUUAAAAACAAACUUUCUUAUUUUUAUUUAUUUAUUUUGGGC
rnacentral:lncRNA from 1 species